rnacentral:rRNA from 1 species
AUGGGCCAAGGAUAUAUUCGUAACAGUUCAGCCUGUAAAAGUAUUGGAAAGCACGGCCCGGCCCGGAGGAAUCGGCCCAAUAUACACACACCUAGCGACCACGGGCCACCUCUCCUCUCCACAUAUUGGAGCGGAGCCCGAACCGAGCAGAGAGAAACCCCUCUUCCCCUCCGUCCUCCCCUCCCCUUCCGCUCCCAGCUAGGGUUUUGCCCGCCCACCUGCCGUCACCGGACGCCCCUACCCGGCGCAGCCAGCGCGAUGGAGCCCACCUCGUCGUCGGCGGUGGCGAGGCAGACGUGGGAGCUGGAGAACAACAUCCCGGCGGCCGCCUCCGACCCGGACGCCAUGGACGCGAUCUACCGCUACGACGAGGCGGCCAACGCGCGGGCCCACCAGGAGAAGCCCUGGGCCUCCGACCCGCACCACUUCCGCCGCGCCAGGAUCUCCGCCCUCGCGCUCCUCAAGAUGGUCGUCCACGCCCGCGCCGGCGGCACCAUCGAGAUCAUGGGCCUCAUGCAGGGUAAGUUCGAGGGCGACUCCAUCAUCGUCAUGGACGCCUUCGCGCUCCCCGUCGAGGGCACCGAGACCCGGGUCAACGCCCAGGCCGACGCCUACGAGUACAUGGUCGAGUACUCCACCAUCAACAAGCAGGCUGGAAGGUUGGAAAAUGUGGUUGGCUGGUACCACUCACAUCCUGGUUAUGGAUGCUGGCUGUCAGGCAUUGAUGUUUCAACUCAGAUGCUUAAUCAGCAGUUUCAAGAACCAUGGUUGGCUGUUGUGAUAGACCCUACAAGGACUGUUUCUGCUGGUAAAGUGGACAUUGGAGCUUUUAGGACAUACCCAAAAGAUUACAAGCCACCGGAUGAGCCUGUGUCUGAGUAUCAGACCAUACCACUCAACAAGAUAGAAGAUUUUGGUGUUCACUGCAAACAGUACUAUUCUUUGGAUAUAACCUAUUUCAAGUCAUCCCUGGACUCUCACCUCCUUGAUCUACUCUGGAACAAGUACUGGGUCAACACAUUAUCUUCAUCACCACUUCUGGGCAACAGGGAUUAUAUUGCUGGACAAAUCUUUGAUUUAGCUGAUAAACUAGAGCAAGCUGAAGGGCAACUGGCACACAGUCGAUUUGGCAUGCUUAUGCCAUCACAGCGAAAGAAAGAGCAAGAGGAGUCGCCGCUGGCUAAGGUAACCCGGGAUAGCUCCAAAAUUACCGCUGAACAGGUUCAUGGUCUCAUGUCACAGGUCAUCAAGGACAUCCUCUUCAACUCUGUGCACCCGUCAAGCAAAAGCAAGGCAAGCGCAAGCGGAGCCGCCCCAGAUUCACCAGUGCCUGAGCCCAUGGUCGAAGCAUGA